CUUCAAAUCUUCAACCCUAAUUAUAAGCAAUAGCACUAUUAAUGCAAUUCAUAGCAUCGACUAAUAAUGAAGCAGAGUAAUAGACAAAUAAAAGUCUUCUUUUUAACAAAAAAAAAAAAAAAAAAAAAACGUAUUGAGAAAGACAGUGUUAUCUAUGGGCAAGGAAAUUAGCCUUGUCACAAUUGGGGGUUGGGAGAGGAGGACGGUUGAAUUCUGAUCUUUAUCUGAGCACAGGGACACAUUAGAUUAACAGCUAGACCCUGAGCCAUGCACACUUCCUAAGGAAGCUGAAAACACCCAGAAACACACCAAGAACACACAUAUAGAUGCACAAACAUGUGUACACGCCACUUUCCCCAACCGUGACUACAGCACCAACAGACAUCAACAUUGAGCCUCUGAUCUCUGACUGGUUUGAUCCAUGUGGCUGACUGCUAAGCCAUGGCUGUCUGCACAGCAUUCAGAACAGUUAACACCAUCAUCUGACUCAAACAGGUGUCUGGAGGUAGCUUUUCCAAGGUUGGCCCUCUACUGCUUGAUCUUUCAAGCAACCUGAAACACCGACUUCACAUCCUCAUUUCCGUGCUCACGCUGUGAAGUUCACAAGGUUCCAAACUUGCCUGCAGCCAUGAGACCUUUCGUCGUCCUCUCGAUCUCUUGGCAUAGCCUCUCGCGCCUCUUCCGAAAGGGCUUCGUCUUCCAUCCCCAAAUAAGUCUCCCCUUCUUCCUCCCCUCCUCCUCUAACGGCCGACCAGGUCCAUUUGGCCCACUGCACUGGUGACAGCCAAGACAUCUUCGACCUCUUGCUGGUGACACGCCAAGCGUCUACAGGAACACCUUGUGGGCAAAUCCAAACAAGUGAGUCAGUCUCCCCUUGCUUCUUUUUCUCUCCUCCUGUCUUGCAGAUGUUUUUCUCAGUGGUAGGCAACGCUCCUCGUGGUCUUGAAGUCGAGCUUCAUGUUUUCGUCUCAAAAGCUUAGUUGCUUCCUUCCUCUCACGCGACUGUUGAUGUUUUCUCACAGCUUCCUCUUUCUCAGUGCAGCUAAGUAACGAAGAGUUUGCAGUCUCCUUCUUUCCCUCGCAGACUACCACAGCAAAGAUCAGCUGGCUGCCAGAUAACUCCCCAUCCACCCCUCCUUUACGGGAUCAGACUAUUGAGAAGAAACUAAUGGGGGAGGAGAAAAGAGCAUGCCUGUAUCUCUGGUCCAGCUGAUUCGGCAUCCCCCGUUUUGUAGGAAUGGUAGCUUCCUUCCCAAACAGAACCGCCUCUCUCAUAAAUAGCAGAAAAAGGGAACACAAACAGAGGCUGAAGAGAAGGGAGAGGGGGGCUCCGUGGUUUCGGUAGGGAGACUGUGGAAUGCAGGGCUGAGCUCCUCCUCUGUCUUUUUUCCUUUAACCUCCUCUAGCCUUGAGCUCCAGCUUGCAAGCAGGAAAACCUGUUCUCUCACUUGUCCUUUCACAUUGUUACCUGUUUGAAAUGCCUCAGCAGAUCGCCUGGGGGUGUCAGCGUUCCCAUGACUAAUUUGUACUCAUACCAACAUCCUUUUCCAACAAGAAAAAGACCACAAGACCUCUGCAGUAUCUAUAAAAAACUAAGUAUUGAGCUUGCCUUGAAAAACAAAAAACUUAUAACACUACCUCAGUACUUUCGGUGUGCACACUGCAUAAUCUUAAUCAGGAUAAUGGAGUGCUUAAGGAUUUAGUUGAUGGGUACUGCACCAAGUAUCUCCAUUCUGCACCACAACCACAUCCUUUGAUCACUGUCAGUCUAAAAAUACAACCCCAGUGAGGCCGUGUUGCUGGUCGUUGCCAUCACAAAGUCUACCCACACAACCAGAGCAAAGGUUCUCAAUGCCAUAAAGUGUUUGAGCUUUGAUAAAAUGUCCUAAACAAUGUUGGUGUGAAUGCAAAGACACUGAACUAAAAUCUUUAUGAAACCUCUAUUAGACCAUGAAAAGCAGAUGUCCCUUCAAGGCUCAGGGUAACUUAUAUAACUGAUCUCCAUGGAGAAGAUGGGUCAUUCCACAUCAGAGGUCUGCAGAUAUUUCAGGCAGAAUUCAUUCUAUGAGACACAGUUAAAUGUGCCUGUAUGAUAUUGGGAGAACUGGUUCUUAAUGCUAAUUGUGAAAUGAGUACAUAUUGUUAAAAAGCUUGGGAUUUUUUAGAGCCAUGUUAUUUAAAUGUGUAUGUAACUAAGUGAAUGAUGUUUUGGUGAAGAAAUUAAAUGAAAGCAAAAUGGUG